rnacentral:rRNA from 1 species
GCAUAUCAAUAAGCGGAGGAAAAGAAACUAACAAGGAUUCCCCUAGUAACUGCGAGUGAACCGGGAAAAGCUCAAAUUUAAAAUCUGGCAGCCUUGGCUGUCCGAGUUGUAAUCUGGAGAAGCGUCUUCCGCGCUGGACCGUGUACAAGUCUCCUGGAACGGAGCGUCAUAGAGGGUGAGAAUCCCGUCUUUGACACGGACUACCAGUGCUCUGUGAUGCGCUCUCAAAGAGUCGAGUUGUUUGGGAAUGCAGCUCAAAAUGGGUGGUAAACUCCAUCUAAAGCUAAAUAUUGGCGAGAGACCGAUAGCGAACAAGUACCGUGAGGGAAAGAUGAAAAGCACUUUGGAAAGAGAGUUAAACAGUACGUGAAAUUGCUGAAAGGGAAACGCUUGAAGUCAGUCGCGUUUGCUAGGACUCAGCCUUGCCUCGGCUUGGUGCAUUUCCUAGUAGACGGGCCAGCAUCACUUUUGACUGCGGGAGAAAGGUUGGAGGAAUGUGGCACCCUCGGGUGUGUUAUAGCCUCUAGCUGUAUGCCGUGGUUGGGAGUGAGGAACUCAGCACGCCGCAAGGCGGGGCUUCGGCCACCUUCGUGCUUAGGAUGCUGGCGUAAUGGCUUUAAACGACCCGUCUUGAAACACGGACCAAGGAGUCUAACAUGCCUGCGAGUGUUUGGGUGGAAAACCCGAGCGCGUAAUGAAAGUGAAAGUUGGGACCUCUGUCGUGGAGGGCACCGACGCCCGGACCAGACCUUCUGUGACGGAUCCGCGGUAGAGCAUGUAUGUUGGGACCCGAAAGAUGGUGAACUAUGCCUGAAUAGGGUGAAGCCAGAGGAAACUCUGGUGGAGGCUCGUAGCGAUUCUGACGUGCAAAUCGAUCGUCAAAUUUGGGUAUAGGGGCGAAAGACUAAUCGAACCAUCUAGUAGCU